CCUGGUGAUUAUUGCGAAAGGGCAAUACCCGAUCCCAUUCCGAACUCGGAAGUCAAGCCUUUCUGCGCCGAUGGUACUUUGUCUUAAGAC
rnacentral:rRNA from 1 species